GCCCGGCUAGCUCAAUCGGUAGAGCGUGAGACUCUUACACCAGCUACGAGCGAAAUGUGACAUCUCAAGGCUGCGGGUUCGACCCCCGCGUUGGGCU